rnacentral:rRNA from 1 species
UACGUAGGGUGCGAGCGUUAAUCGGAAUUACUGGGCGUAAAGCGUGCGCAGGCGGUUUCGUAAGACAGAUGUGAAAUCCCCGGGCUUAACCUGGGAACUGCGUUUGUGACUGCGAGACUAGAGUGUGGCAGAGGGGGGUGGAAUUCCACGUGUAGCAGUGAAAUGCGUAGAGAUGUGGAGGAACACCGAUGGCGAAGGCAGCCCCCUGGGUUAACACUGACGCUCAUGCACGAAAGCGUGGGGAGCAAACAGGAUUAGAUACCCUGGUAGUCCACGCCCUAAACGAUGCGAACUAGGUGUUGGAGAAGGAGACUUCUUUAGUACCGUAGCUAACGCGUGAAGUUCGCCGCCUGGGGAGUACGGUCGCAAGAUUA